rnacentral:tRNA from 1 species
GGGGUUGUGGCUUAGUGGUAGAGCACUUGCCUAGCACGUGUGAGGCACUGGGUUCAAUCCUCAGCACCA